rnacentral:rRNA from 1 species
GACGAACGCUGGCGGCGUGCUUAACACAUGCAAGUCGAACGGAAAGGCCCUGCUUUUGUGGGGUGCUCGAGUGGCGAACGGGUGAGUAACACGUGAGUAACCUGCCCUUGACUUUGGGAUAACUUCAGGAAACUGGGGCUAAUACCGGAUAGGAGCUCCUGCUGCAUGGUGGGGGUUGGAAAGUUUCGGCGGUUGGGGCUGGACUCGCGGCUUAUGAGCUUGUUGGUGGGGUAGUGGCUUACCAAGGCUUUGACGGGUAGCCGGCCUGAGAGGGUGACCGGCCACAUUGGGACUGAGAGACGGACCAGACUCCUACGGGAGGCAGCAGUGGGGAAUAUUGCACAAUGGGCGGAAGCCUGAUGCAGCAACGCCGCGUGCGGGAUGACGGCCUUCGGGUUGUAAACCGCUUUCGCCUGUGACGAAGCGUGAGUGACGGUAAUGGGUAAAGAAGCACCGGCUAACUACGUG